AAACCUGCAAAAACGCAAUCUGCUGUGCUGAAGAAAUGGUAUAUAUUCAAUACGACGAGCAAUAUAUGAUCGCCAAAGGGAAGAAAUAGGGAAAGGAUGAGAAGAACGACAGUAAGAAAACAAAAACUUGAGUAUCUAUCUAUGUUUACUUGUCGGAAAUGGAGAGCAGCAGCAGCAAAUAUCGCAAUAACUGCAGAUAAAAUGACGAAACCAAAAGAAGCUCCAAAACGGUAAAGGGCUCCAGCAGCAAAUCCACAACAGGCGACUAAGAUAAGGCAAAUGAUGCCUUCACUCCUGCCUGAGAUAAACCCCGUAGAGACCUCGUUCACAUUCUUGUCCUUCCAUCGUAGGGUUACUGCACAAGCUGAAACGACAGAGUAGCCUGUC